GGGCGUGGAACGCGACCGAACUCUCGCUUCCGCCGAUAGACGCGCACGACCACACGACCCACUACACGACCAUUACGCGACCCACCACGGACCACACCAUCGACAAGACUACGGCGACAACGAGGCCGGGAACGACAACCCCUCUGACAGAACAUGUCGGCCAGCCUGCCGGAAACCACCGCGUCACCGGAAGGAUACCGCCACGCGCUGGGGGAAUUUGCCUGCAACGAAAAUCGAGGAAGGGGACAAUCUUCGCUAGAAGAUGCAACAACAGUUAAAUAGCACAGUGAAUACCUGCAUUAAGUGUACAAAACACUAGAUAAAUACAGGUAUUUCCUUUUGCUAAUUCCAGCCAAAGUA